UUUUUUUUUUUUUUGUAUUUGGUCAUGUUGUGUGGGGCAAAUACAGCUCCGCUUUGGCUGAGCUAUAUUCCUUUUUUUAAUAAUAAAAAAGCAAAAUCAUAUGAAAAUUUUCUUACAAAUAGAUGUAUUUGUAAAAGCAAAAGAAAAUUUCUUAUUUCAAGUAUGUAAGGAAAGCGGAAAGUAUUCAAUUGGUUAUACAUAUACUUUUAGAUAUUUCAGUCUCUGUAAUGACUGACAUCCAGUGAAGCCUUCUUUCAAUUUUCUAACAUUAAUACAAAAGUUAUCAAAAUGCAUAAAAGUAAGAUGCUUCUAAAAACAACUGUCACAUUUAAUGUUGUGAUUUAGUAAUCAGGUCAUGAUUUUUUCAACUCUAACUUUAAUUUGUUUCUGUACUUUCUCUUUAAUGGGAGAGGGGGUGGGCUUCUAAGUCUUCCUCUUGAGUCUUUGUACAAUAAAGUGAGCUAUUUGCUUCUAUUUAGCAGAGUUGGAUGGGGCAUAUCUCUGCAUUUGAUUGGUUGGUUUUUAAGGGAUUACUCCUCUGGAAAGACACUGUCUCAUAUCGAAUUGCUAGCAGCGUGGUCUUAACUGUGGUUCAACUUUUAAAUAGAAGAUGAACAUUUACCAUCAAAGAGAACACAAACUUCAGGACUCCUGUGUUACACAGAUCAUACACACUAUAUUGACCUGUUUUGAUAAGGUUCUGUUUGAAUACAACCCUAAACACCAUCUCCAGAAACAACAACUGUCUCAAUGGCAUAAAUCGGUAAUUUGGGGUUUCUCGUGUAUUACAAAGAAGCCAAUAAAACUUAGAAUAAAUUCCAACUAUACAAAUAGGCUUCAGUAAGAUUAACAAAAUCUGAGGAUGACAGGUAAGUCAACAAGUUAAAUAAAUUAUACUAUUUAUACCCAGAUGAAAUAAAACAAUGACUUCUAACUUUUAUGUUGCAUUUCCCACCUACUCAGAGUAAACAUCAGACUUCAAAUUCCAUUUAUCAUUUUAUCUGAAAGAAUUUCCUCAGUCAAAUCCUUAGUUGCAGGGCUUUACACUUGCAAUCCAUCAGGUUGCAACAUUAAAGUUACUACAGCUUCUUCCCCAGUGUAAGCAUUCUGUAUGUGUUUUAUUUACAUUGUCACUUUUUACUUCCUCCUCAACUUUAUAUGUCUAAGAAUGAAACUGUAUUGCUAUUAUGUAACAGUAUUUUAACUUUGCAACAUACAUACUGGUUUCUCUCUCCUUUGAACCCGUGUUCCUGAAAAAUAAACACAAUGUAUCCGGAAAAACUAUCUUGAGGUGUGUGGGGAAGAGUGCAGACAUGUAGAAACAGACACUAAAAUACAGUUGUGUGGAAAGGUAAGGAUGUAUCUGUCCUUGUUGACAACAAUCCCCGUGGUUUAUUAACAGCCACAGGCAGCCAACUUAGUGCCGUAAGUCGGUAACCCAGUGGGCAUCAGGGCUUUAGGGUCUCUUAAAACUUAAUGUGAUUCAAAAAUACCCAAGGCAAGCACGCCGAAAAACCUGGAGAAAGUGCUCCAGUUAGAGCCUCCUUGGCAACCCAAACCGAACCAAAUGACUCAGGUGGACGAUUAGAAUAAACCGUGCGCCGUUCUCUUUCACUAGGUCUAUAAAGCCCAUAAAUUAUGUUUCGUCCAGAAAACCAGGAGUUAUGAGCACCUUCCUUUUCCACCUUUUAAUAUUCUGUAUAUCCAGCAACAGUUCUUAAUCCAUGGUCUUCAUUCCUUUAUUGCCUAAACAAGAUCUUGGGUGUCUCCUGGUGAUCACUUCUUCCAAGCUGACCUUAUGUGACAGCAAACUGAAAAGCCUCUUCGUGGGAAGGGUCGCGACCGCGCGGUAAGUCAUCCAAAAGUGGAAGCAUCUUGCUUUUACUGACUUAUGUAUACGCGGGUGGCGAC
ensembl:lncRNA